rnacentral:rRNA from 1 species
CUGUGGUAUUUUGACUAUACAAAGGUAUUGUAAUAAGAUUUUAAUUGAAUGCUAAAAGAAUGGAAGUUUAAGAAAAAACUUUUUUAAAAAUAAAAAUUAAAUUUUUUUUAAUUUGUGCAAAACCAAUUAUUUAUAUUAAAGACAAGAAGACCCUAUGAAUUUAUGAUUAAAUAAACUAAAAAUUUUUAGUUUAUUUAAUCUUGAUUGGGGCAAUCAAAAAAUAUUUAUAACUUUUUUAAAUUUAA